rnacentral:rRNA from 1 species
GUGAACGCUGGCGGCAGGCCUAACACAUGCAAGUCGAACGGCAGCACAAGAGAGCUUGCUCUCUGGGUGGCGAGUGGCGGACGGGUGAGGAAUGCAUCGGAAUCUGCCCAUUUGUGGGGGAUAACCUCGGGAAACCGGGACUAAUACCGCAUACGACCUACGGGUGAAAGCAGGGGAUCUUCGGACCUUGCGCAGAUGGAUGAGCCGAUGCCGGAUUAGCUAGUUGGAGGGGUAAAGGCCCACCAAGGCGACGAUCCGUAGCUGGUCUGAGAGGAUGAUCAGCAAAAAGGGGAAUGAGAAACGGCCCAGACCCCCAGGGGAGGGAGGAGUGGGGAAUAUUGGAAAAGGGGGGAAAGCCUGAUCCAGCAAGGGCGGGUGUGGGAAAAAGGCCUUGGGGUUGGAAAGCAAUUUUGUGGGGAAAAAAAAGAAGCCGGUUAAUACCCGGUUGUAAUGACGGUACAAAAAAAAAAAGCACCGGAUAACUUCGU